UACGGAGGGGGCAAGCGUUGUUCGGAAUUACUGGGCGUAAAGGGCUCGUAGGCGGCCAACUAAGUCAUACGUGAAAUCCCUCAGCUUAACUGGGGAACUGCGUGUGAUACUGGAUGGCUUGGAUGUGGGAGAGGGAUGCGGAAUUCCAGGUGUAGCGGUGAAAUGCGUAGAUAUCUGGAGGAACACCGGUGGCGAAGGCGGCAUCCUGGACCAUUAUUGACGCUGAGGAGCGAAAGCCAGGGGAGCAAACGGG
rnacentral:rRNA from 1 species